rnacentral:lncRNA from 1 species
GUUACGACCUUUGGUCCUGCCAGCCUUGAUUGUCAAGGAAACAGGACAGGUGGAUGACACCGAUAGUGGAAAUUGAGGUUAAAUGAGCGCUCCAAAGUCACUGGGCUGGAACCAACAAGACUGGGCCAGGUCCUUCCCUUUGCUAGACUGAGGGUGCUUUCCCCGGAAUUCUCUGGUGAUCUCUGUAGCCGGGCGGGAGCUCCCCCAUGUUGUUGGCAGGGCUCUCCCAGCCUGGUGCACACAGGCCUCAGCAGGUCCGUCAGGCGUGAGAGCAGUUGGUCCCUCUGCAGGCGCUUGGUGAGGAAAGGCUCUGGGCGCCUGGUGGGUGACAGGUUCUGCUGGACUAAGGCAAGGGUUAGAGAGCUGUGAGGGGCUGGAACUCCUAGUGGCUUCAUCCCUCAUCUCCUGGGCAAUGUGGUUUUCUUGUGGGGCUAUAGGGACAGCCAAGCCCAGG